GUGGAGAAGGACGCCGAAGGUGGGGCUGAUGACUGGGGUGAAGUCGUAACAAGGUAGCCGUACCGGAAGGUGCGGCUGGAUCACCUCCUAACAGGGAGACAAUAAAUUGAUUGUGAUGUCUAAGUUAUUUAUUCUUAGGCCGCAAUCCUGUCACCUUAAGGUCGAUCGGUACCUCAGAUUUUUGAAUUAGUUUUAUAAUUAAUUCUUUGAUUUCAGUUCCUAAACUUGUCUAGGUCACACCCAACAAAGGUUUCUCCUGGGCCAUUAGCUCAGGUGGUUAGAGCGCACCCCUGAUAAGGGUGAGGUCCCUGGUUCAAGUCCAGGAUGGCCCAUUCGUUGUUGGGGGUAUAGCUCAGUUGGUAGAGCGCCUGCUUUGCAAGCAGGAUGUCAGCGGUUCGAGUCCGCUUACCUCCACUGAAAACUAUCCUGAUAACUAAAUUUCGGAGAAAAAUUUGUAGAAGUGGCUUAGAAUUGUCUGCCUGAAAAGAACCUAGCUUCUUGUCAUCUUUUUAUAGUUGAUAACAUGCUGGGCUCGCAUGGAUCAAUUCCAUGAGAAUUCAGUAGAACCUUGAAAACUGCAUAGAUUAGAAAGAAUAAAGCAUCUCAUGGAUGCAUAAUUCUGGUUUUUAUAAUUUAGCCUAAAAACUAAAUUACUUAAGUUCUAGAAUUCAUGUUUAAUUCUUGAGUAAAAGCCGAGCACAAUUGAUUUUGUGAUUGUAUUUAAGGUCAAGCUACAAAGGGCUCAUGGCGGAUACCUUGG
rnacentral:misc_RNA from 1 species